UCCGGUGGUCCUCUAACCUCAGAUCUGAAGGUUGUUUAUCCUCUUUCCUCUAGCCCGCUCACAACCUGUGCUAGCACCGGUGCUUUUUUGCCGGUCUGUUGGUAGCUGGUUGCGGUGGUGUUCGUCGGGACCGGGAGAAAUCCCUGGUUGGUGUCUCCGACCACGGCGGUGGCCAGGCCCUCGGGCGCGGCUCCCCUUCUUGAAGGCACCGUCGAGAUCCCCUCUUCCCACCCCUCCCCCUCCGUUCCAAGGUUAAUUCCUGUAAUCCCUUGCGGAUUCGGCGGCGGCGGCGCUCGGCGUCGUAACCUCCCUGGGGGCGUCGUCUGGUUAGAAGGGUGUAGGUGUGCGGUGCUAGAUCCGAGGUUUGCAAUUGCAGCGGGGGUCCGUGUGACAACUUGGUUUCCAGCGAUGCCAGGCUUGCCUUUCUCUGUUUGGUGCUUGUUGGCCGUCCCCUGUUCGCCGGUGCUCGGCUCCCUUGAGCCUGGGUGGAAGAGGAAAGGGUUCCCCUUCCCGGCAACAGAGCCGUGGCAGCUCAAUGAGCACCAGGGCCAUAUCCCGCGCAUCCUGUGCAUGAUCUGUUUCCCUGUUGCUCACCGCAAGCUCGAUGCUUCUUCAGUUCCGAUGUGUCGUUUCCUGCAGCUUACUCUCUUCUUGUUUGGACACCGGCGGUCUGUGCUUAUAUGCCCAGUGAGGUAUGCCCGCUGCUGCGACAUGGAUGCGAGCAAAUGUUCUGUGUCUGCUACCCCAAGAUCGUGCCUUUCCUUGUUCUAGGGUGAACCCAUCCCUCGCUCGACGGUGCGGCGUCCUUCGAUCCAGGACGAGGGGGUAGGGACCCUCUUCGGCGAGGGAGAAGGAAGGUGUGGUAUCUUUCUGGUCCAGUGCAGGAGUUUUUGGCGUGUUUGUGGCCAAGGCGGUAGGCAAUGCCAUUGUCGAUGUUGUUUCCUUGGGCGCCGGUGUUUCAAGCUUCAAGGGCAGUCCUUUCUUCAAGCGGUUCUUCAUCUCUAUCUAGUUUAGGUGCUUGUAGUUUGGGAUUGUGUUGUAAGCUGUAUCUUCAGCACCCAUGUAUCUUUGGGCUGCUCGUGUUUUAUUUUCUUUGUAAGUGGCGGUGGGCUGCUCUUGUUGGUUGUAAUACCUGGCCGGUUG
rnacentral:lncRNA from 1 species